rnacentral:lncRNA from 1 species
UUUCUCCACAGAAAAGGUGUGCUCUCCCACCCUCUACAAGCCUCUUUCCAUGCCAGAGGGUUUUCAAGACUCCUGUUUUAGUGGCCAGGAGGAUUUCAUUGGGUUUCUUUCUGACUGCCUUCUCCACUGGAAUUGGGUGACCCAGUGAGUUUGUACCUGCACAGGGGUGUUUUAGAAAUGCCCUUUUAUGGCUUGAUUCCUUUUAGACCUACAGAUGUGAUUAGUGAACUGUUGAUGUAAUGUUUGUGCUAAUGUAAUAAGCUCAAAGUUGCUUAUUUCUUGGCAAGUAUGUUUAUACACUGGUCUUAAUUUUGAUAAUAAUAAAUCAUAUUAAACCC